GGGCGUAAAGCGUGCGUAGCCGGUACGGAGCGUCGCCACUGAAAGCACCCGGCUCAACCGGGUGAGGUGUGNCGAUACGACCGAACUGGAGGCAAGGAGAGGUGUGCAGAAUUCCGGGUGUAGUGGUGAAAUGCGUAGAUAUCCGGAGGAAUGUCGGUGGCGAAGGCGGCACACUGGUCUUGACCUGACGCUGAGGCACGAAGGCGUGGGGAGCAAACCGGAUUAGAUACCCGGGUAGUCCACGCAGUAAACGAUGUCGGCUCGGUGUAUCGUGGUGGCAACACCAUGGUGUGCCCAAGCUCACGCGGUAAGCCGACCGCCUGGGGACUACGAGCGCAAGCUUAAAACUCAAAGGAAUUGACGGGGGCCCGCACAAGCAGCGGAGCGUGUGGUUUAAUUCGACGCAACGCGAAGAACCUUACCCAGGUUUGACAUGCAGCUGCAAGCGCACGGAAACGUGUGACCUUCGAGGGUGCUGCACAGGUGCUGCAUGGCUGUCGUCAGCUCGUGUCGUGAGAUGUUGGGUUAAGUCCCGCAACGAGCGCAACCCUUGCCGUCAGUUACAAGUGUCUGGCGGGACAGCCCUCGCUAUGAGGGAGGAAGGCGGGGAUGACGUCAAGUCAGCAUGGCCCUUACGCCUGGGGCGACACACACGCUACAAUGCCGACCACAAUGCGCUGCAACCACGCAAGUGCAAGCUAAUCGCCAAAGGUCGGCUCAGUGCAGAUCGGGGGCUGCAACUCGCCCCCGUGAAGGCGGAGUUGCUAGUAACCGCGUAUCAGCCAUGGCGCGGUGAAUACGUACCCGGGCCCUGUACACACCGCCCGUCACGUCAUGGGAGUUGGUAAUGCACUGAAGUCCGUNNGGGGUAACCUGCGGGAGCCAGCGGCCGAGGGCAGGACUGGCGACUGGGACGAAGUCG
rnacentral:rRNA from 1 species